rnacentral:rRNA from 1 species
GACGAAGGAUGCAAGCGUUGUCCGGAUUUAUUGGGUUUAAAGGGUGCGUAGGCGGUCCUAUAAGUCAGUGGUGAAAUAUCGCAGCUCAACUGUGAGGGUGCCAUUGAUACUGUAGGACUUGAGUGAAUUUGAGGUAGGCGGAAUUGACGGUGUAGCGGUGAAAUGCUUAGAUAUCGUCAAGAACACCGAUAGUGAAGACAGCUUACCAAGCUUCAACUGACGCUGAGGCACGAAAGUGUGGGGAUCAAACAGG